rnacentral:rRNA from 1 species
UAAGUUAGUAGUGAAAGCGUUCGGCUCAACCGGAUAUACAUUAUUAAAACUGCAAAGCUAGAGGAUGAGAGAGGUUAUUGGAAUUGCUAGUGUAGGAGUGAAAUCCGUAGAUAUUAGCAGGAACACCGAUGGCGUAGGCAGAUAACUGGCUCAUUCCUGACACUAAGGCACGAAAGCGUGGGAGCGAACGGGAUUAGAUACCCCGGUAGUCCACGCCGUAAACUAUGGAUGCUA